rnacentral:rRNA from 1 species
AACGAACGCUGGCGGCAUGCCUAACACAUGCAAGUCGAACGAGACCUUCGGGUCUAGUGGCGCACGGGUGCGUAACGCGUGGGAAUCUGCCCUUGGGUUCGGAAUAACAGUUAGAAAUGACUGCUAAUACCGGAUAAUGUCUUCGGACCAAAGAUUUAUCGCCCAGGGAUGAGCCCGCGUAGGAUUAGCUAGUUGGUGAGGUAAAGGCUCACCAAGGCGACGAUCCUUAGCUGGUCUGAGAGGAUGAUCAGCCACACUGGGACUGAGACACGGCCCAGACUCCUACGGAGGCAGCAGUGGGGAAUAUUGCGCAAUGGGCGGAAAGCCUGACGCAGCGACGCCGCGUGGGUGAUGAAGGCCUCGGUCGUAAG